UUAACUAGGAUCCCACUUACAACAAUUUUUUAAACUUAAACUAUAUACUGCAUACUAAAAUAUUGCGGCAAAACCAUUAUAAUAGCUCAAAGAAUGAAGAACUUUUAGUGUACCAAACCUCAGUUUUACAUCAGAAGAUGGCUGUUACAAGAGGAGAGGCAAAAUACAAGGUUGACAGCUAGAUCUUUGAACUUGUGAUCUAUAAACUACCAGGGUAACUCCUAGGGGUUGGCUCAAGUGGUAAGAGCCUUGGUCUUGGUGGUAUGCUCCCUCUAGGUCUAAGGUAUAAAUAUUUGGGUGCAAACAAUUCUUAGGAGCCAUCGGACUAAGGGAAUUUCCCUUUGAAUUAGUAAAUGUGCAUUUGCGGAAAACUCCUUGCCAAGAACAUAUGCACCCCAAGAAUUUUUGUGAUCCAUUCAAAUGGUCAAAUAUUGUGUGUGCCAACACACAUGCAUGUCAAAUAUUGGAAUUCCUGAGAUUGGACACCAUUAGACCCUAGAUUUUGAAACUAAAAUGAUACAGAGGGACAGAUUUGGUUUUUUUUUUUUUUUU